UUAAUUUGAAGAGAUUGAUCAUGGCUUAGAUUUAACGCUGGCAGCAGGCCUAGCACAUGCAAGUCCAACGGUAACAGGAAGCAGCUU
rnacentral:rRNA from 1 species